UCUUUGUAGUAAUACAAGGCAUACGGCUCAGUAACGCGUAGUCAACCUACCCUAUGGACAAGAAUAAUCUCGGGAAACUGAGCAUAAUUCUUGGUAGAUCAUAAUGCCUGGAAUGGUUUAUGGUUAAAAUGAUUCGUCGCCAUAGGAUGGGACUGCGGCCUAUCAGCUUGUUGGUGAGGUAAUGGCCCACCAAGGCGAUUACAGGUACGGGCUCUGAGAGGAGAAGCCCGGAGACGGGUACUGAGACAAGGACCCAGGCCCUAUGGGGCGCAGCAGGCGAGAAAACUUUGCAAUGUGCGAAAGCACGACAAGGUUAGUCCGAGUGAUUUCUGCUAAAGAGAUCUUUUGCUAGUUAUAAAACCACUAGUGAAUAAGGGGUGGGCAAGUUCUGGUGUCAGCCGCCGCGGUAAAACCAGCACCUCAAGUGGUCAGGAUGAUUAUUGGGCCUAAAGCAUCCGUAGCCGGCUCUGUAAGUUUUCGGUUAAAUCUAUGCGCUCAACGUAUGGGCUGCCGAAAAUACUGCAGAGAUAGGGAGUGGGAGAGGUAGACGG
rnacentral:rRNA from 1 species